GACGAACGCUGGCGGCGCGCUUAACACAUGCAAGUCGAGCGAGAACCGGUCCUUCGGGACCGGGGAAAGCGGCGAACGGGUGAGUAACACGUGAGUAAUCCACCCUCGGUACCGGGAUAGCCCGGGGAAACCCGGAUUAAUACCGGAUGGCCCAUCCGCUCUUCGGAGCGGCUGGAAAAGGUAGCUUCGGCCUCCGACCGAGGACGAGCUCGCGGCGGAUUAGCUUGGUGGCGGGGUAACGGCCCACCAAGGCGAGGAUCCGUAGCUGGUCUGAGAGGACGAUCAGCCACACUGGGACUGAGACACGGCCCAGACUCCUACGGGAGGCAGCAGUGGGGAAUCUUGCGCAAUGGGCGAAAGCCUGACGCAGCGACGCCGCGUGCGGGAAGAAGGCCUUCGGGUUGUAAACCGCUUUCAGAAGGGACGAAGCUACUCGGGUUAACAGCCCAGAGGGUGACGGUACCUCCAGAAGAAGCCCCGGCUAACUACGUGCCAGCCGCCGCGGUAAUAC
rnacentral:rRNA from 1 species